UACGUAGGGUCCAAGCGUUAUCCGGAAUCACUGGGCGUAAAGCGUGCGUAGGCGGAUGCUUAAGUGCGAUGCGAAAUCCUGGGGCUCAACCCCAUGGACUGUAUUGCAUACUGGGCAUCUUGAGGAUAUGAGAGGCAAGUGGAACUACCGGUGUAGCGGUAAAAUGCGUAGAUAUCGGUAGGAACACCAAUGGCGAAGGCAGCUUGCUGGCAUAUUUCUGACGCUAAGGCACGAAAGCGUGGGGAGCGAACAGG
rnacentral:rRNA from 1 species